UCCUACCCCGGCUCCUACAAAGAAACCGACCAAAAAACCGACCAAAAAGCCAACAAAGAAACCAACAAGAAGCCCAACCAAAACACCGACAACUUCUCCCACUGGCUCUCCA
rnacentral:ribozyme from 1 species